UCAAUUCUUUUCAAUUACCAA
rnacentral:piRNA from 1 species